GAUCAACGUCUUCAUUCUCUCCUACACAAAUGCCCUAGCCGUGUACUGUACAUCCAGUUCCCAGAGUGAGUGUUCCUGUUCUACGCGAUGCUCUCCAGCCCAAGAUUAUGUUGGAAGCAAAUCAACAAUGACUUGGGUUGGGAACUUAGUUAAAUCAUGAAUUAUAUCACUUUUCUCUUUAUUUCUUGAAGCUGUACUCAAUGAUCAAAUGGACCAUGAAACUUUGGUGCCUCAUUUCCCUCCAAAAACCUCUUCUCCAGCCACUUUACCUACCAACCCAUUUUCUCCUUUCUGCUAAACUUAUCCAAACCUACGCUAAAUUUAGCGGAGACCCACAAACCACAACAGCUAUUUUAAGCUCUUUCCAUGCAAAAAUCUUCACACCCCCCACCUCUAUAUCUUACUCUAAGCUCCUCUCACAAUGCACUGCUUCCAAGUCUGUGACUUCAGGUAUGGAAGUCCAUGCUCACAUGAUCAGAUUUGGAUUAUCUGAGGACCCCAGUUUUCGGAAUCAUUUGAUUAGUCUGUACUCAAAGUGUCGGUGUUUCGGGUAUGCACGGAAGCUGGUUGAGGAAAGUUCUGAACCGGAUUUGGUUUCUUGGUCUGCUUUGAUAUCUGGGUAUGCACAAAAUGGGCUUGGUGAGGAAGCCCUUUUGGCCUUUCAUGAGAUGCAUUUGUUGGGUGUUAAGUGCAAUCAGUUUACGUUUCCUAGUGUUCUUAAGGCGUGCUCGAUGACAAAGGAUUUGGAGCUGGGGAAGCAGGUUCAUGGCAUUGCAGUUGUGACAGGGUUUGAGUCCGAUGUGUUUGUUGCGAAUACUUUGGUUGUUAUGUAUGCAAAAUGUGGGGAGUUUGGGAGUUCGAGGAGACUGUUUGAUACAAUUCCUGAGCGGAAUGUUGUUUCGUGGAAUGCGUUGUUUUCUUGUUAUGUGCAGGGUGAUUUCUGUGGAGAAGCAGUGGAUUUGUUUCAGGAAAUGAUUUUGAAUGGAAUUAGACCUAAUGAGUUUAGUUUGUCCAGUAUACUGAAUGCAUGCUCAGGUUUGGGGGAUGAUAGUCAAGGAAAGAAAACCCAUGGGUAUUUGAUAAAGCUUGGGUAUGAUUCUGAUCCAUUCUCAGCAAAUGCACUUGUUGAUAUGUAUGCAAAAGUAGGAGAUAUUGAAGAUGCAAUUGCUGUUUUUGAGGAAAUAGCAAGACCUGACAUCGUUUCCUGGAAUGCUGUUAUUGCUGGCUGUGUUCUUCAUGAGUACCAUGGUUGGGCUUUAAACUUGUUUGCGCAAAUGAAAAGGUCAGAAAUAUGUCCAAAUAUGUUUACCUUAUCUAGUGCUCUUAAAGCUUGUGCUGGCUUGGGGCUCAAGGCAUUGGGUAGACAGUUGCACUCUAGAUUGAUAACAAUGGAUAUAGAAUCAGAUUCGUUUGUGGGUGUAGGACUGAUAGAUAUGUACUCAAAGUGUGAUAUGAUGGGUGAAGCGAGGAUGGUUUUUUAUUUGAUGCCAAAAAAGGACUUGAUUGCAUGGAAUGCUGUUAUCUCUGGACAUUCAUACAAUGGAGAAGACAUGGAGGCUGUAUCCCUUUUCACUGAGAUGUUCAAGGAGGGAAUUGGAUUCAACCAGACUACAUUAUCCACAGUCCUAAAAUCUACAGCUAGUUUGCAGUAUAUCAAUGUUUGUAAACAAGUUCAUGCACUUUCUGUAAAAUCAGGUUUUCAUUCUGACAAUUACGUUGUAAACAGCAUUCUUGAUACAUACGGAAAAUGUAGCCAUGCUGAAAAUGCUGCAAGAAUUUUUGAAGAAUGCCCAAUUGGGGAUCUGGUGGCUUUCACAUCCAUGAUCACAGCUUAUGCUCAAUAUGGUCAAGGAGAGGAAGCACUAAAGCUCUAUUUGCAAAUGCAAGAUAGGGGAAUCAAGCCGGAUCCAUUUGUUUGCAGUUCCCUUCUGAAUGCCUGUGCAAAUUUAUCAGCAUAUGAACAAGGAAAACAGAUACAUGUCCAUGUUCUGAAGUUCGGAUUCAUGUUUGAUGUCUUUGCCGGGAAUUCCCUAGUCAACAUGUAUGCAAAAUGUGGAAGCAUCGAUGAUGCAGACUGUGCUUUCUCUGAGAUACCUGAGAGAGGAAUAGUUUCUUGGUCUGCAAUGAUUGGGGGACUUGCACAACAUGGGCAUGGGAAACAGGCCCUCCAACUGUUUAAUCAGAUGCUUCAUGAUGGUGUCCCCCCCAAUCACAUAACUUUAGUUAGUGUCCUUUGUGCAUGCAAUCAUGCGGGUCUGGUAACUGAAGCCAGACAUUAUUUCAAUUCAAUGGAAGAGUUGUUUGGUAUUGAACCAAUGCAAGAGCAUUAUGCUUGUAUGAUUGAUCUCCUUGCCCGUGCUGGAAAAUUAAAUGAAGCAAUGGAACUAAUGAACAUGAUGCCAUUUCAAGCUAAUGGUUCAGUUUGGGGUGCACUUCUUGGAGCAGCAAGAAUCCAUAAAAAUGUUCAUCUGGGCCAACAUGCUGCUAAGAUGCUUCUAACUCUUGAACCAGAGAAAUCUGGUACCCAUAUUCUUCUUGCAAACAUUUAUGCAUCAGCUGGCAUGUGGGAAAAUGUUGCAAAGGUAAGAAGGCUUAUGAAAGAUAGCAAUGUGAAGAAGGAACCUGGAAUGAGUUGGAUUGAGGUCAAAGACAAGGUAUACACCUUUAUUGUGGGAGAUAGAAGCCAUUAUAGAAGCAAGGAAAUAUAUGCCAAGCUUGAUGAGCUGGCUGACCUUAUGAAUAAAGCUGGCUAUGUUCCCAUGGUAGAGAUUGACCUCCAUGAUCUAGAACAUAGUGAAAAGGAGCAGCUUUUAUUCCACCAUAGUGAAAGGCUUGCAGUGGCUUUUGGUUUGAUUGCUACCCCACCAGGAACUCCAAUUAGGGUGAAGAAGAAUCUUCGAAUCUGUGUGGAUUGCCAUGCCGCAUUCACUUUCAUCUGUAAAAUUGCCUCAAGGGAGAUUAUCGUGAGAGAUGUCAAUAGAUUCCACCAUUUUAAAGAUGGUUUGUGUUCUUGUGGAGACUAUUGGUGAUUUUUUGUGGGGGAGAAGUGUUACCUUUCUUUCCAACCAAGUGACUCAUCUUUUGGGGGCUCUAAAACAAAUGCAAAUGAUGCCAAUGAGCUCUAGCUUAAAAUUCAAAUGGUGCUUCCUACUUAGGCUUUGUUUGGUUGGGAGAUGGAAAAUUGGAGGGAUAGAAAAUGGUGGGGGAUGGAAAGUGGAAGGAUAGAAGAGUUAAAUAAGGACCCCAAGAUUUUCCCUAUGAAUAUUGCUUGUUCUAUGUGACUUUUGUUCCUCUUCGGUGGAUAUACUAUCAGUUCAAGAAAUGGCA